AAAUUCAGGCUAAAUACCAUGAAGACACCAGAUCCUGUCUGACCUUGGAAACUAAGCAGGGUCAGACCUGGUUGAUUCUUGGAUGAGAGAUUGCCAAUGAAUCCCAGAUUUUGUACACA
rnacentral:rRNA from 11 species